AAAGAUGGAUAAUUCAAUAAAUGGAGAAAGAAAACAACAACCAAUGAAAAAUAGGCAAUAAGAUAAAAUGCUUAAUCAUGUGUCAAAGAACUGUGGCUGGAAGUCACACACUCCUGAUUCCACUUCUGAACACAUGGAGCCCGCAUUUGGAGUUCAUUAUGAACAUGGGCAAAGAGGCAGCAACAGGAUUCAGAAGAAUAGCCUAACAGAAAAUAGAAACCUAGAGAAAGAUCAGUAAUUCCAUCACCCAUCAUUCCACUUACAGACAACCCUAUAUGUUCUUGUUAAGUGUCUACAGAGGAAAUACUGAAAAUCCUGAUGUAAGGCUCAGGCAAGCUGAGCAGAGGCUGAUUCGUUAGGGAAAUAGCGGCUCCACAUUCCUAAAUGCCAAGGGUGUGUGUGGGAGGUGGAUUGUGGUAUCGCAGGGAGAAGAAACGCCGAAUGCUUGAAGAGAACGUCAGGUGUGUGCGAGAGUGAGCCUCUACUAGACUCAGUUCAAUCAACUAUCUGCGUCAGAAGCACAGGACCCCUCUCCAGCCUGCACGAGGCAGAAUUUCUGGGGGUGGGGCUGGGAAUCUAUACAUUUUCUAAGCGUCCUAAGUCAUUCUUGUGCUCACCAAAGUUUGAGAACCACUGCUAUAGCAGCUCCUGCCCAGAGCUGUCCCUGCCAGACAGAAGAUGCUUCAUAGCUAUUCCGUCUGUACCUGCCCUCGAAUCUUGGGGCGCCCAUGGAUACCCUUCUUCCAAGGAAAGGGGAGGACCUGGAGGAACAUGACUGUGAAGUCAUGAUGCUCUCUAUGAUCUCACUCUUGUCAACCCGGUUCUGAGCCUUGCUUUCUUCUGCAGUCUGGAGAACCCCAAACCUGGUCGUCAGGACUCCUUUGUUCUCGAGUGUGAGGAUGACACAUGUCUGGACCAUAGGGAAAUGGCCAUGAAAGGGUGAAGCUCUGGGGUCAGACAGUGUUCUUUUAACACAGAAAGGGAAGGAGUUACCAGAAGGGAAGAGACAAGCUUGGGUCUGCAGUGAGAAAUGGUGAAGGCCCAAACGAAGUUCUGAUCAAAGAUUAGGCCUCUCAUCUUUGGUGGGAACAGAAGCAGCAGGGACCUCUCCGACAUUGCUGGUGAAAUGGUGUUACAGGCUCUUAAGAAGGUCAUCGGGCAACAUCUUUUGAUGAAAGUACGCAUAUCCUUUAAGCCACAAUCCCCCUCUUAGGAGUCUAUCCCAUAGAAGCAAAAGCACCUACGUUCAUAUGCACCUUUAUAAAACGAUGUGCACCAUCUGGAGGCAAAAGCUUGGAAACCAGGUUGUCUUUCACGGUCAUCUGAACGAGAUCUGACUUCCAUCAGCAAGCGUUUGAGGAACAGUGGCGGGGAAGAGGAGGCUGGGACAGACCUGCAAAGCUCCGUGUUUCUGUUGAUAUGGAAAGAAAGAUCCAGCGGCCCGUCAUGUUCUGACAGGAUGUCUUCAUUUAUUUACGUUGUUCUGAAUACAGGAGCUAAUGCAAUUAGCCAGGAAACAGAUCACUGACAAGCUGUCAGUGGCUGGGCACCUGUCCAGCGACUGCCCAGCUCCAACCUCGUCACCGACAGACUGGCUACCCCUCGAACUGAAGAUUCUUCACGCCAUGUGGUUGAUGUAACAAGACAGUUUUAUAUUUUAAUAGCACUUAGCCUUUUAAAGUACUCAGAUAUUUUCCCUCACGUGACUCUCCUAUAACAUUACUCUGAGGUAAUUGGGGCAGUUUUUAAACAAACCCCAUUUGUCAGGCAAGAAAUGCAGAUCCUUGCAGAGACAUUUGGUGACGUGCUCAAGGUCAGUGGUUAGUGACCACACUGGAACUCACCUGAGGUGUUCCCGUUCAUGAUGUGGGAUCUUCCCACUCCUCAGCUGAGCCACAUACGUGGCGAUGAACUCGCUACUGAUCUACUGUAUGAGUCUAAUCGCACGGCUCUGGCCAAUAAAUCAUUUUAAGCGCUAAUACCGCAAAAGUCCCUUUCUACCUUUCUUUGCUCCAUAUCCUCAAAGAGAAAGUCCACCAAAUUACCCAGAGCCCCUGGACUAAUGACUUUGUUCUUACACUGUAUCAUUGUGUUAGGAGAACAAUUUCAAAUGAUCCACAGUUCUCAAAAAUAAUAGCAAAUAUCAAACUGCAGCCAUGUCACUAAAAACGCUUUACGAAGAGAAGUCUAGCAAAUUAUUUAGGCUACGUGGCCAUAACCGAGGUGGCUUUGCUCCCCUCCUAGCUGUUUUCCCAAACUGCAAGCACAUUGUGUAAGAGCAAAUGAGUGGCCUCUCUCCCAUGCCAAGAUUGCAAAUUAAACUACAAAGAGAUCUCAGAAAGUUCUAACAAAAUCUCUGCUCGUUAUUCAGAAGGCGAUGCUGUCCCUCGCCUUCUGCGGGAGGGGCCAGCAGUGGUGUUUGCUGUGGGUGAUAGCAAAGAUAAGUGCUCAGGUCCCCUCAGGCUUCAGGCAGUUCAGUGCAGUUUCAAAGAGCCGCCGAGAAGCAGAUGACCAGCCCAGGAAGGCAGCGCUGUGCGGCGGAAAGGGCUGGUUCCUGAGUCAGAGGGUCCUGAACCCCAGCCCUGCCACUCCUGCAGAGGGCUUGACCUCGCUGGGCCUAACAGAACUGUGACUAUUAAACAAAGAUACCUGUAAAAUGGCUUAGCACGUAAGUGCUGGAAAAUAUGUAUG